rnacentral:rRNA from 1 species
CCUACGGGCGAUAGCAGUGGGGAAUAUUGCACAAUGGGCGAAAGCCUGAUGCAGCAACGCCGCGUGAAGGAAGAAGGGUUUCGGCUCGUAAACUUCUAUCACCAGGGACGAAAGAAAUGACGGUACCUGAAUAAGAAGCCCCGGCUAACUACGUGCCAGCAGCCGCGGUAAUACGUAGGGGGCAAGCGUUAUCCGGAAUUACUGGGUGUAAAGGGAGCGUAGACGGUAAUGCAAGUCUGGAGUGAAAGGCGGGGGCCCACCCCCCGGACUGCUCUGGAAACUGUGUAACUGGAGUGCAGGAGAGGCAGGCGGAAUUCCUAGUGUAGCGGUGAAAUGCGUAGAUAUUAGGAGGAACACCAGUGGCGAAGGCGGCCUGCUGGACUGUAAAUGACGUUGAGGCUCGAAAGCGUGGGGAGCAAACAGGAUUAGAUACCCUUGUAGUC